ACAGAUGGGUCAUGGUGUUACCCGUUCACUCGCAGGCUCCAGGCCUGUGCGGGGGCCCACAGAGCGAACGAGACAGUCGUGGUCCCUGUCCUCGGGGAGCUCGCAGCCCAAAGGGGCAGCAGCCUUUCCCACACCAAGGGAAUCCCCCCCAGAGCUCCCACAGCAGGAGUGGUCCAAGGACCCAAGCAAGGAACACCGAGCUGGGAGUCGGGGGCUCUGGGGAGCACCUUUGCUUCUGAGCCUCGGUUCCGCAUGCGGGCCGUAGCUCGGCUGGAGACACAGGAUGGCGCUCUGUCCAAGCUCGAAGGCCACGAGAGGUCAUGGAGUGCCCGGCCUCGCCAGAAUGGACUUCCUGGGCACAGGAAGGGGUCCCUGGCCCCAGCAGGGAGGCAGGGUGGAGGCCGGAGGUGGAGGGAGCCCAGGUACGAAGACAGACGGAGGUGCAUCUUUGGUCAGAGAGGGAACAGGGCCUUGGCCUCUGCCCUUCCCCUGGCCCAGGGCGGGAGCUGCCCUGAUGCUCGUGGGGGCGCCCCCAGGGCUGACAUUUAUUGAGCACACGCCACCUGCUAGGCACGCUGGGCUGAGCUACUGACAGCAGGCGCAAAUCUGUGGACUCCCCACUCUGGUCCUAUGAGGCAGGUGCCCAUUAUUCUCCCAUUUUACAGAUGAGCAAAUUGAGGCACAGAGAGCUGAAAGCUACCCAGGGCCCUGCGGUUGGCGUCAGAACACACAGGUACAACGAGAGAGGCCCGGCGUCUGUCCUUAGGGAACUUUCCGGAGAGCUGAGGUGACACAAGUGAACUUGUGAAUGAAGGAGUCCAGGGGACGAAGGCAGAGGGGUGAACAUGGCCUGGGUUGGCAGCGGGGGGGCGGGGGGGGGGGACAGAGUGACCAGAUGUGGCAGAGGACUCACGUGUGGGCUGGUGCUGGGAGCCCAGGGUCCCAUGCCCUUGUGGGUGCGGGGUGGAGCCGUUGGGGGCCAGUCCCGGCCCAGUCACAUCCUUUAAAGUCUGUGGGCUUCCCUGAGGCUGCACCGAGUACAGGGGGCGGUGGGGCGGGGCAGG